rnacentral:rRNA from 1 species
GAUGAACGCUGGCGGCGUGCCUAAUACAUGCAAGUCGAGCGAACAGACGAGGAGCUUGCUCCUCUGACGUUAGCGGCGGACGGGUGAGUAACACGUGGAUAACCUACCUAUAAGACUGGGAUAACCUCGGGAAACCGGAGCUAAUACCGUAUAAUAUAUUGAACCGCAUGGUUCAAUAGUAAAAGACGGGUUUUCUGUCACGUAUAGAUGGAUCCCCGCCGCAUUAGCUAGUUGGUAAGGGAACGGCUUACCAAGGCAACGAUGCGUAGCCGACCUGAGAGGGGGAUCGGCCGCACGAGAACUGAGACACGGUCCAGGGUCCUACGGGAGGCAGCAGUAGGGAAUCUUACGCAAUGGGCGAGAACAUGACGGAGCAACGCCGCGUGAGUGAUGAAGGUCUUGGGAUCGUAAAACUCUGUUAUUAGGGAAGAACAAAUGUGUAAGUAACUAUGCACGUAUUGACGGUAACUGGUAAGAAAGCCACGGCUAACUACGUG